rnacentral:tRNA from 1 species
GGGAGGUGGCUCAUCGGUAGAGCACUUGCUUAGUAUGUAUGAGGUCCUGGGUUCAAUACCCAGCACCCA